GACGAACGCUGGCGGCGUGCCUAAUACAUGCAAGUAGAACGCACAGUUUAUACCGUAGCUUGCUACACCAUAGACUGUGAGUUGCGAACGGGUGAGUAACGCGUAGGUAACCUGCCUGGUAGCGGGGGAUAACUAUUGGAAACGAUAGCUAAUACCGCAUAAUAUUAAUUAUUGCAUGAUAAUUAAUUGAAAGGUGCAAUUGCACCACUACCAGAUGGACCUGCGUUGUAUUAGCUAGUAAGUGAGGUAACGGCUCACCUAGGCGACGAUACAUAGCCGACCUGAGAGGGUGAUCGGCCACACUGGGACUGAGACACGGCCCAGACUCCUACGGGAGGCAGCAGUAGGGAAUCUUCGGCAAUGGACGAAAGUCUGACCGAGCAACGCCGCGUGAGUGAAGAAGGUUUUCGGAUCGUAAAGCUCUGUUGUAAGAGAAGAACGGGUGUGAGAGUGGAAAGUUCACACUGUGACGGGAUCUUACCAGAAAGGGACGGCUAACUACGU
rnacentral:rRNA from 1 species